ACCACGAUCUCUUCCGGUGCGAUGAAAAAAACUUCGGCGAAUGUACGUGUGGCAUCUGGCGCUGACAUGACCAACUCUCUCUGUAUAUCCUCAACAGUUUCUUUAUUUCGCAAAAAUUCCGUGGAGAAAACAUAUUUGUCCAUGUUUGAAGUCUUGCCUUGCGAUGGGAUGAAUCAUUUUCUGGAGCGAUGAGAUGGAAUUGGGACCUUCAUAGCAUCCAACAAACAAGGAUUUCUGUGAGGCAUUGGGCUUUCCACAUUGCAGACCUCUGUAUCACCAUGGACCUAUUCGUAAUAGGUCCAUGGUAUCACCAACUUAAAUGAGCCUCCACCUGUCCACCAUGAUCUCCCCCAAGCUUAAUCCACACCUCAUAUUCAGGAAUUGCCCCAUCGUGAGUUGUGAGAAAUCCAUUCCUGUGGAAAGAUGAUGGAACAUGAAUAUAUGGUCUGUGACUCUGCUAUGUACCUAGCGAAUCACUGUCGACUAUCCAUGGUUCAAGUGAGGAUUGGCCAACCUGGUCAUUUCUUAAUUACCUACAGACUGUAACUGCACCGUGCAAAGUCUUAUGCAGGAAUGGGGCUACAGCAGUGAUGGAGACACCACAUUCGACUGGGCAGAUCAGACGAUGCAAUACCUUUGGUCUGCCCCCCCCCCCUCCGAGGAGCCAUGCACUGCCAGAGAUCUUGAGCCAGGUCUUCACUGGUCAAGACUUCAGUGGUUAUCCAUGGAUAAGAUGAGGUAUCUCGUUGAUUUCGGCAUGACCAUCUUCCUGAAGCUUCUUCCUAACGAUGAAACUGGAGGCUCUUUCCACGGAUCUUAGAAUAUGUACAAUAUAUUGUAUAGCUGGUUCGAGUGUGAUUCCAGCUUUUUUAAGAGCUUCUUGACGUUUAACUUCUACUGGCCUUUAUUGUUGUUAACAUCUCCUGUGAAUGUUUAUAGGAGGCCAGUAUUGCCAAAAAACACAGUAAACCUCGAGUUCACAUAUAGUUAAAAAACAGGAACUACUUGUAACAUUAUUUAAUGUUCUUGCUACAAAUUGGACAUGGUGAAACUUUACAUUCAUUAUAUCUUAAGUAUUUACUGAGGUACUCACUACAAAAGGAAGUUGGGGUCAAAAGGUCAAGUUUUUGUUCAACUUGGUCACAUUUCUUUAUUUCUGCAUCAAUUAUGUUCACACAUCUGAUCAUUGGGUAAUACUACAUGUACGUACGUUAGGAUAAUGAAAAUUGCUUAGUCGGGAAAAGUGGCUUAUUGGAUCCUCUAUCUUUUGCUUAUAAUUAUUUUUUUUCAAAUUAAAUAUUUCUCCAUCAAAUCUGACAAAUUCAUUAUUUUUAUAUCAGUAAUUAUUAAACAACGUCAGUAAUAAGAGUUUUGAUAAACAUGUGCAAGUAUAUGUACCACCAUCAAUGUGCAGAGUAUUUGCUGGAAGUGUACAUGCUACAGAGAAAUUUUAAUGUGUGCAACCGUAGGAUACGGGAAAAAAUGCUUGCAGUCUUUGAUGUACUUUUGAAGAUCAAGAUAGAAUUCACCCAAAACAUCUACCGGGUGUUAGUACUUAGUAUGCCGAAAAUAUCCAAGAUAAGUUCAGCACCAUUCAUCUGGAAGAAGAGACGAGUCAAAGCAUUUUAAACAAUUUUAAAAAUUGCCUGCGCUAUAUUUGUCUGAAUUGAUAUGCAGUUAGAAUUGAUCAAUUUCUGAAUGCAAGCUGACAAAUUUAUUUAGGAGGGUAUUAACAUGAAUGUAUUUUUAGUACAAGUGAGACGUCUCUGGUAGUCUUGCCUGCAUUAUUAUGCAAUUCAAUAUGGUCGCAUUUCAGAAGUUCGGUAUGGAAAUGGGUGGAUGAUGAACAAAGUAUUUGUCGAGUUAAAUGCCACUAAUUGAAUAAGAUUAAAUUCAAUUAUAAAAACCGACUUCUGGAAUGUCCCUCUACAGUUAUUAUUCAUGACAUGUCUAAUUAUACUCGACUAGUAGGAAAAUGUCAGCCAAUGUGAUAUACAUUAAACUUUUAUUUUUUUUUAGUUCCAAUAAUUUAGAUAUAUUUCACUUCAAACUUAUUCAAAGACUACAGGCAUCACUUUUUCAAUUUGAAGUAUAUUGAUAAAGAAGUUAUAGCAUGUAGGUAUUAUAGUAGGUUAAAAAACAACUUAAAUGUGUAUUAUAAUGGCAAUGUAUUAUAUUGUGUCAUAAUAUGAGUUAUGACUAAGGUUUACAUUUCUAGUCAGUUAAAAUGCAAAGAACAACUAGAUUAAGAUCAUUUUUACAAAUUCAACAAUUUUGAAAAUAUACAGGAAUGAGCUACAUGUGCAUGUUAUAUCCAAAAUAAUCAAUUACCAGUAGUCACUUAUCUGAUUUGUAAAUGAUAUUUAUAGUAUUUUUAAGUCUUGUAUCAUUGCAAAAAAACUUUUAUCCACGGUGUACUGAAUUUGCCGGGCAUGUGAGGGUGACAGUCAUUUUUCAGUUUUUUUUUUAAACAUUGUUAAAAUUAAAUGUACACUGUAAUAGACAUGUAAUAGAUAACCAAUUUGUGUGGCUGUGUGAGUGGUAAAUCACAUGAAAUCUGCAAAUAUUAUAUUUAUUUUCAAAUG